rnacentral:rRNA from 1 species
GACGAACGCUGGCGGCGUGCUUAACACAUGCAAGUCGAACGGAAAGGCCCUGCUUUUGUGGUUUGCUCGAGUGGCGAACGGGUGAGUAACACGUGAGUAACCUGCCCUUGACUUUGGGAUAACUUCAGGAAACUGGGGCUAAUACCGGAUAGGAGCUCCUGCGGCAUGGUGGUGGUUGGAAAGUUUCGGCGGUUGGGGAUGGACUCGCGGCUUAUCAGCUUGUUGGUGGGGUAGUGGCUUACCAAGGCUUUGACGGGUAGCCGGCCUGAGAGGGUGACCGGCCACAUUGGGACUGAGAUACGGCCCAGACUCCUACGGGAGGCAGCAGUGGGGAAUAUUGCACAAUGGGCGGAAGCCUGAUGCAGAAACGCCGCGUGCGGGAUGACGGCCUUCGGGUUGUAAACCGCUUUCGCCUGUGACGAAGAGUGAGUGACGGUAAUGGGUAAAGAAGCACCGGCUAACUACGUG